UGGAGGACUGAGAAGGUUUAGCAGCUUGUUCUGUGCUGUUAUAACUGGUUAUAACCUCCUAAAUGAAAAUAAGUCAGAUGCGACAAACCGGCUACAUGUGACACAUUAGAGCUGGCGUUGUGUUUGUGUACAGAUC
ensembl:snoRNA